CCUACGGGAGGCAGCAGUGAGGAAUAUUGGGCAAUGGAGGAAACUCUGACGCAGCCAUGCCGCGUGAGUGAAGAAGGUUUUCGAAUUGUAAAGCUCUUUCGGAUGUGAAGAAGAUGACGGUAACAUCUAAGGAAGCCCCGGCAAACUUCGGGCCAGCAGCCGCGGUCAUACGAAGGGGGAAAGCGUUGUUCGGAAUUACUGGGCGUAACGGGUGUGUAGGCGGGAAAGUAAGAUAGUGGUGAAAUGCCUGAGCUCAACGUGGGGACUGCCAUUAUAACUAUUUUUCUAGAGUGACAGAGAGGAUAUUGGAAUACCAGGUGUAGGAGUGAAAUUCGUAGAUAUUGGGAAGAACACCGGAGGCGAAGGCGAGUAUCUGGC
rnacentral:rRNA from 1 species